UACAGAGGUCUCAAGCGUUGUUCGGAUUCAUUGGGCGUAAAGGGUGCGUAGGUGGCGCCGUAAGUCGGGUGUGAAAUUUCGGAGCUUAACUCCGAAACUGCAUUCGAUACUGCGGUGCUUGAGGACUGGAGAGGAGACUGGAAUUCAUGGUGUAGCAGUGAAAUGCGUAGAGAUCAUGAGGAAGACCAGUGGCGAAGGCGGGUCUCUGGACAGUUCCUGACACUGAGGCACGAAAGCCAGGGGAGCGAACGGG
rnacentral:rRNA from 1 species